rnacentral:rRNA from 1 species
GACGAACGCUGGCGGCGUGCUUAACACAUGCAAGUCGAACGGUGAAGGGGCCUGCUUUUGUGGGCCCUGGAUGAGUGGCGAACGGGUGAGUAACACGUGAGUAACCUGCCCCCUUCUUCUGGAUAACCGCAUGAAAGUGUGGCUAAUACGGGAUAUUCUGGGUCUGUCGCAUGAUGGGUCUGGGAAAGAUUGCGCCUUUGGGUGUUUUUGGUGGGGGAUGGGCUCGCGGCCUAUCAGCUUGUUGGUGGGGUGAUGGCCUACCAAGGCGGUGACGGGUAGCCGGCCUGAGAGGGUGGACGGUCACACUGGGACGGAGACACGGCCCAGACUCCUACGGGAGGCAGCAGUGGGGAAUAUUGCACAAUGGGCGCAAGCCUGAUGCAGCGACGCCGCGUGAGGGAUGGAGGCCUUCGGGUUGUAAACCUCUUUCGCCAGUGAAGCAGGCCUGCUCCUUGUGGGUGGGUUGACGGUAGCUGGAUAAGAAGCGCCGGCUAACUACGUG